rnacentral:misc_RNA from 1 species
GAUGAAGAACGCAUCGAAAUGCGAUACUUGGUGUGAAUUGCAGAAUCCCGUGAACCAUCGAGUCUUUGAACGCAAGUUGCGCCCGAAGCCACUAGGCCGAGGGCACGCCUGCCUGGGCGUCACACGUCGUUGCCCCCCACCAUCUACUCCUUCGGGAUUGCGGGGGGCGGAUGAUGGCCUCCCGUGCGCCUAGCCGCGCGGUUGGCAUAAAUACCAAGUCCUCGGCGACGCACGCCACGACAAUCGGUGGUUGCGAAACCUCGGUUGCCCGUCGUGUGCGUUCGUCGCGCAUCGAGGGCUCGAAAAAAUGCUCGGCUCCGGCUCGGCUUUCAACGCGACCCCAGGUCAGGCGGGGUUACCCGCUGAAUUUAAGCAUAUCAAUAAGCGGAGGA